GUUUUUGUAGUUAGAUCUAUAACGAUGGCUUUUCAGGCCGUAGACCUUGGAGAAAAACCAAGCAAAAAUU
rnacentral:tRNA from 1 species